GUCUUUGAUGAUGUGCCAGAAACACUGGAGAAGUGGCAUUCCUUGGGCGUUAAGGUGUAUAUAUAUUCUAGUGGUAGUAGAUUGGCUCAAAGACUUGUAUUUGGAAAGACAAUCUAUGGAGAUUUGAGAAAAUAUUUGUCUGGAUUUUUUGAUACUGCUGUGGGGAACAAAAAAGAAACACGCAGUUAUGUUGAAAUUUCAGAGUAUUUGGGAGUUGAUAAACCAUCUGAGAUUUUGUUUGUCACAGAUGUCUUGCAAGAAGCCAUAGCCGCAAAAGGAGCAGGUUUGGAGGCAGUGAUUUCUAUCCGGCCAGGAAAUGCUCCGCUUCCAGAGAAUCAUGGAUUCAAGACAAUUAAUACUUUUGCAGAAAUCUGAUGAAAUCAGACUUGGCACUUGUGUAAUGACACUAAAUAUGACAUGGCUUGAUGCACAAAUGUAUGCAUAAAUAAAAAUCUGUUUCAGCUUUCUUAUUUAUUUAG
rnacentral:misc_RNA from 1 species